GGAGAGGUGGCAGAAUGGCUAAUGCGCCGGUCUUGAAAACCGGUGCCCGCAAGGGCUUGUGGGUUCGAGUCCCACCCUCUCCG
rnacentral:tRNA from 1 species